AGAGUUUGAUCAUGGCUCAGAUUGAACGCUGGCGGCAGGCCUAACACAUGCAAGUCGAGCGGUAGCACAGAGAGCUUGCUCUCGGGUGACGAGCGGCGGACGGGUGAGUAAUGUCUGGGAAACUGCCUGAUGGAGGGGGAUAACUACUGGAAACGGUAGCUAAUACCGCAUAACGUCGCAAGACCAAAGUGGGGGACCUUCGGGCCUCAUGCCAUCAGAUGUGCCCAGAUGGGAUUAGCUAGUAGGUGGGGUAACGGCUCACCUAGGCGACGAUCCCUAGCUGGUCUGAGAGGAUGACCAGCCACACUGGAACUGAGACACGGUCCAGACUCCUACGGGAGGCAGCAGUGGGGAAUAUUGCACAAUGGGCGCAAGCCUGAUGCAGCCAUGCCGCGUGUGUGAAGAAGGCCUUCGGGUUGUAAAGCACUUUCAGCGGGGAGGAAGGCGUUAAGGUUAAUAACCUCAGCGAUUGACGUUACCCGCAGAAGAAGCACCGGCUAACUCCGUGCCAGCAGCCGCGGUAAUACGGAGGGUGCAAGCGUUAAUCGGAAUUACUGGGCGUAAAGCGCACGCAGGCGGUCUGUCAAGUCGGAUGUGAAAUCCCCGGGCUCAACCUGGGAACUGCAUUCGAAACUGGCAGGCUAGAGUCUUGUAGAGGGGGGUAGAAUUCCAGGUGUAGCGGUGAAAUGCGUAGAGAUCUGGAGGAAUACCGGUGGCGAAGGCGGCCCCCUGGACAAAGACUGACGCUCAGGUGCGAAAGCGUGGGGAGCAAACAGGAUUAGAUACCCUGGUAGUCCACGCCGUAAACGAUGUCGAUUUGGAGGUUGUGCCCUUGAGGCGUGGCUUCCGGAGCUAACGCGUUAAAUCGACCGCCUGGGGAGUACGGCCGCAAGGUUAAAACUCAAAUGAAUUGACGGGGGCCCGCACAAGCGGUGGAGCAUGUGGUUUAAUUCGAUGCAACGCGAAGAACCUUACCUGGUCUUGACAUCCACAGAACUUAGCAGAGAUGCUUUGGUGCCUUCGGGAACUGUGAGACAGGUGCUGCAUGGCUGUCGUCAGCUCGUGUUGUGAAAUGUUGGGUUAAGUCCCGCAACGAGCGCAACCCUUAUCCUUUGUUGCCAGCGGUCCGGCCGGGAACUCAAAGGAGACUGCCAGUGAUAAACUGGAGGAAGGUGGGGAUGACGUCAAGUCAUCAUGGCCCUUACGACCAGGGCUACACACGUGCUACAAUGGCAUAUACAAAGAGAAGCGACCUCGCGAGAGCAAGCGGACCUCAUAAAGUAUGUCGUAGUCCGGAUUGGAGUCUGCAACUCGACUCCAUGAAGUCGGAAUCGCUAGUAAUCGUAGAUCAGAAUGCUACGGUGAAUACGUUCCCGGGCCUUGUACACACCGCCCGUCACACCAUGGGAGUGGGUUGCAAAAGAAGUAGGUAGCUUAACCUUCGGGAGGGCGCUUACCACUUUGUGAUUCAUGACUGGGGUGAAGUCGUAACAAGGUAACCGUAGGGGAACCUGCGGUUGGAUCACCU
rnacentral:rRNA from 1 species